rnacentral:rRNA from 1 species
GAGGCAGCAGUAGGGAAUAUUGGGCAAUGGAGGCAAUUCUGACCCAGCCAUGCCGCGUGAAGGAAUACAGCCCUACGGGUUUUAAACUUCUUUUAUUAUAGAGUAACCGGAGGUACGUGUACCUCCCUGCAAGUAUAUAAUGAAUAAGGAUCGGCUAACUCCGUGCCAGCAGCCGCGGUAAUACGGAGGAUCCGAGCGUUAUCCGGAUUUAUUGGGUUUAAAGGGUGCGCAGGCUGAUCGAUAAGUCAGGGGUGAAAAAUUUCAGCUUAACUGGAAUCGUGCCUUUGAUACUGUCGGACUAGAGUGUAACUGACGUGACUGGAAUGUGCCGUGUAGCGGUGAAAUGCUUAGAUAUGUCACAGAACGCCAAUCGUGAAGACAGGUCACGAAGUUACUACUGACGCUCAUGCACGAAAGCGUGGGGAUCAAACAGGAUUAGAUACCCUGGUAGUCCACGCUGUAAUCGAUGAUUACUCGUUGUUGGGCAUUUAUGCUCAGUGGCCAAGCGAAAGU